UCUGGAUAAGGGGGUGACUACCUUAUUCACUAUCAUUCCUGGCAAUUAAAGAAUGUUAACUCCAACUGAACACCAGAUGAAUUGGCCCUCAAUUAAACACAUCUGUCCAGAAAUAUAAAAUCACCCAAAACUAAAAAUUUACUAAAGUGAAGCAUGCUCCUUAGAGUGAGAUCCUGUCUCUACAAAAAACUGUUUUAAAAGUUAGCCAGGCAGGGUGGCAUGUACCUGGAGUCCCAGCUACUCAGGAGGCUGAGGGAGGAGGAUCCCUUGUGCCCAGGAGAUCAAGGCAUAGCCAACAUGCUAAUGAACUCUUUUCUCAGUUAAUUCCACUAAUUAGUUAUCUCUUCUUGUUCUGCCAGAAUCCCAACCCUUUUACAAUCUACUCAUCAAAUCCAUCAGGCCACAUAUUAUGCCUUCCUAGAGGAACACUUUUCGUGAUGACACUUUGUAAACAAGGCAAUCUGAUGCUGCCUGUUCUAUCUUCCCAGAUCUAGUUGAUAGUUCAAAACAUCAACAUUAACCACAAGUAAAAUAUGCUU
rnacentral:lncRNA from 1 species